rnacentral:rRNA from 1 species
GCAUAUCAAUAAGCGGAGGAAAAGAAACCAACAGGGAUUGCCCCAGUAACGGCGAGUGAAGCGGCAACAGCUCAAAUUUGAAAUCUGGCCCCCAGGGCCCGAGUUGUAAUUUGCAGAGGAUGCUUUUGGCGCGGUGCCUUCCGAGUUCCCUGGAACGGGACGCCAUAGAGGGUGAGAGCCCCGUCUGGUCGGACGCCUAGCCUGUGUAAAGCUCCUUCGACGAGUCGAGUAGUUUGGGAAUGCUGCUCUAAAUGGGAGGUAUAUGUCUUCUAAAGCUAAAUACCGGCCAGAGACCGAUAGCGCACAAGUAGAGUGAUCGAAAGAUGAAAAGCACUUUGAAAAGAGGGUUAAAUAGUACGUGAAAUUGUUGAAAGGGAAGCGCUUGUGACCAGACUUGGGCCCGGUGGAUCAUCCAGCGUUCUCGCUGGUGCACUCCGCCGGGUUCAGGCCAGCAUCAGUUCGCCGCGGGGGAAAAAGGCUUCGGGAACGUGGCUCCUACGGGAGUGUUAUAGCCCGUUGCAUAAUACCCUGGGGCGGACUGAGGUUCGCGCUCCGCAAGGAUGCUGGCGUAAUGGUCAUCAGCGACCCGUCUUGAAACACGGACCAAGGAGUCGUCUUCGUAUGCGAGUGUUCGGGUGUAAAACCCCUACGCGUAAUGAAAGUGAACGCAGGUGAGAGCUUCGGCGCAUCAUCGACCGAUCCUGAUGUUCUCGGAUGGAUUUGAGUAAGAGCAUACGGGGCCGGACCCGAAAGAAGGUGAACUAUGCCUGUAUAGGGUGAAGCCAGAGGAAACUCUGGUGGAGGCUCGCAGCGGUUCUGACGUGCAAAUCGAUCGUCAAAUAUGGGCAUGGGGGCGAAAGACUAAUCGAACCUUCUAGUAGCUGGUUUCCGCCGAAGU